rnacentral:rRNA from 1 species
GACAGAGGCCUCAAGCGUUAGGCGGAAUCACUGGGCUUAAAGCGUGUGUAGGCGGAUCGUUAAGUACCUUGUGAAAUCCCACGGCUCACCCGUGGAACUGCUGGGUAUACUGGCGGUCUUGGGCCAACUAGGGGCAGCUGGAACAAGCGGUGGAGCGGUGAAAUGCGUAGAUAUCGCUUGGAACGCCGGAAGGUGAAAAACAGGGCUGCUGGGGGUUG